GGGUUGUGAGGUUAAGCGACUAAGCGUACACGGUGGAUGCCCUGGCAGUCAGAGGCGAUGAAGGGCGUGCUAAUCUGCGAUAAGCGCCGGUAAGGUGAUAUGAACCGUUAUAACCGGCGAUACCCGAAUGGGGAAACCCAGUGUGAUUCGUCACACUAUCAUUAACUGAAUCCAUAGGUUAAUGAGGCGAACCGGGGGAACUGAAACAUCUAAGUACCCCGAGGAAAAGAAAUCAACCGAGAUUCCCCCAGUAGCGGCGAGCGAACGGGGAGGAGCCCAGAGCCUGAAUCAGCAUGUGUGUUAGUGGAAGCGUCUGGAAAGGCGCGCGAUACAGGGUGACAGCCCCGUACACAAAAGCGCAUGUGCUGUGAGCUCGAUGAGUAGGGCGGGACACGUGGUAUCCUGUCUGAAUAUGGGGGGACCAUCCUCCAAGGCUAAAUACUCCUGACUGACCGAUAGUGAACCAGUACCGUGAGGGAAAGGCGAAAAGAACCCCGGCGAGGGGAGUGAAAAAGAACCUGAAACCGUGUACGUACAAGCAGUGGGAGCCCCACCACUAAGCCAGUGGUGAACUCCACAUACGCAUCCUUUGCUGAGGAUACGGUUAACGGAGCGAAAGCGACGUUCAACCGCAAAAGAAGCAGAGGGGGCUUAGUGGUGGGGUGACUGCGUACCUUUUGUAUAAUGGGUCAGCGACUUAUAUUCUGUAGCAAGGUUAACCGAAUAGGGGAGCCGUAGGGAAACCGAGUCUUAACCGGGCGUUAAGUUGCAGGGUAUAGACCCGAAACCCGGUGAUCUAGCCAUGGGCAGGUUGAAGGUUGGGUAACACUAACUGGAGGACCGAACCGACUAAUGUUGAAAAAUUAGCGGAUGACCUGUGGCUGGGGGUGAAAGGCCAAUCAAACCGGGAGAUAGCUGGUUCUCCCCGAAAGCUAUUUAGGUAGCGCCUCGUGAAUUCAUCUCCGGGGGUAGAGCACUGUUUCGGCUAGGGGGCCAUCCCGGCUUACCAACCCGAUGCAAACUGCGAAUACCGGAGAAUGUUAUCACGGGAGACACACGGCGGGUGCUAACGUCCGUCGUGAAGAGGGAAACAACCCAGACCGCCAGCUAAGGUCCCAAAGUCAUGGUUAAGUGGGAAACGAUGUGGGAAGGCCCAGACAGCCAGGAUGUUGGCUUAGAAGCAGCCAUCAUUUAAAGAAAGCGUAAUAGCUCACUGGUCGAGUCGGCCUGCGCGGAAGAUGUAACGGGGCUAAACCAUGCACCGAAGCUGCGGCAGCGACGCUGAUGCGU
rnacentral:rRNA from 1 species